ACCUGGGUGGCUCAGUGGUUGAGCACCUGCCUUUGGCUCAGGUUGUGAUCCUGGGCUCCUGGGAUCGAAUCCCACAUCAGGCU
rnacentral:tRNA from 1 species